GAUCUGCAAAGCCUAAAAUUUUUACCAUCUGGCUCUUUAUAGAAAAAGUCUGUUGUCCCUUUAUCUAAAGGAUGCAGGGAUGUUGGUCCCAGUACAUUGAUUUAAUUCACCUGUUUGGGCCCUGCAGAAACUGAAUGAAUCCCGCCGGUGACUGCAGACUACGAUAAGCUCAACCACAUUAAAGUCCUGAUCCCAGUCUUCAAACCAGAUAUAGAGAACAUCCUUCUUCAAAGAGACAGUAGACAACGAAGUAGACAAAAUCAUCUGGCCAGCCUCUGUCAUUUGCCACCCUAGUGCUGGCAUGAUGGGCAAAGGAAAGUGACUGAGACAGCGGCAACACAUAACAGCCUGCACUCCCUUUCACCAUGGCUGAUGUAGCACCAUCACUGCCAGCAACAGAGACUGUCACCAAGUCUCCCUUAUGGAGGCUUUUCUUCGGGAUACCUACUGGCCACAGUUGACAAGUUCACAACUGAAUGGAUGGAGCCUUUCAUCCUGGAAGGGUCAGCGGUUUGUUCACACAGGAAUGGAUGCACAUUCAAGUGUGGAGUUGUUUUCUGCCGGCCAGGUCUCAGCCAGCAUUAUUAGCCAAAGGCUUACAGAGAGCUUGAUUCACCAGUACAGGAUCCCACAUAACACUGCAUUGGACCGGGGGCCUACUUUAGAGAAAAGCAAGUGCAGGAGUGGACUCAUGACCAUGAGACUCGAUGGUCACAUCCCAUACACACCACCCAGAAGUUGUCAGCAUAAUAGAGAUUUGGAACGACUUGUUGGGAGCACAGCCAGAACACCAGCUUGGAGUCAACUACAUGAGGAUGACUCAGGACGCUGGAUACAUAUUUAUAUGUGUAGAAAGGACUUUUAUUUGAGUGCAUAACUCUGGUCAAUGUUCCUUUCCUUUUCUGGUUUUGGGUAAGGUUAGGGAUUAACUUAAUAGCAUACCUUAUAGAAAAGUACAGAGUUUUGCCAAAAACAACUGCAAGUGUAACAGUUACAGCCUAUAAAUCAGUCCAUUCAUUGGAAAUCCAUUUUUUAUUUUGUUUUGCUUUAUAAAAAGAAAGAUUGGACAAGGAUCCAGCCCUGUGCAAUAUAGCUGUGAACAACAUAGUUAUUUUAUCAAUCGUUUGCUCUUGUGGACUCAGUGGUAUGUCCUUGUAGAAUUGGAAGUGUGUCUGUGGGUUCCUGGUUUCCUAGGCUUCCGUUGCCCCCCUGGCCUUUGGAGAGUUUCCAGAUGACAUAUUCUUGACUCGUGUUAAUGGCCUAAAUUUGUCUACUGUGCAAUUUACUAGCUGGAUUAAAAGUAAUAAAGGUUUUUUUUUGUCGUUAAGAAUUUAAGUUAAAGUUUUGUUUGGAAAUAAUACAUCAACUUUUCUUCUAACACUGUUAAGUCUGAGUUGAGAAUAACUUAUUUAGCCAAAUUCCCUCUAAAGAUGUAAGCUCUUCAUUCACUAAUUUUAUUACUUUUGAUUGAACUCAAAGUUCUGUCAAAAAUUUCCUCUCUGUAAAAUACAUUUCCUUACCCAACUUUCACAUUGGGAAAAUAAUUUUUCCUACAUGUAACUCCUCUUUAAAAUGCUUCUUUGUCAUUUCAAAUUGAAAUCUCAGUUUUGCCAUGGGAAGAGAGUUUUCCAAAAUUCCUCUCUCCCAACAGGACUAUAUGCUCUAUUCAUUUUUUUUGAUAUUCAUAUACAAAUUGUUCCCAUACUCUAGUGGUUGUCUGAGCAUAGUAGAAUUGAAAAAUAAAUUAGUGUAGUUAUCCAGAACAUUUACAUUUAAUGUUGUGACAAAAGCCAGAGAUUUUGGCCUGAACAGCCACAGCGAUUUUCUAAACUGAUCAAAUCCAGUGGAAGGUUGCUCAAUUUUUCAUAUCUUAGAGGCAAAAAAAUCUAAUAUAAAAAUUAAGAUGUUAAAAGAGAGGCAUAACUGAGGUUUUAAUUGGUCAAAAAGUAGAGUGUACCCAGAGCUAGGUGCAGCCACCUUCAGAUCCUGAACUAGCCCUCCUGAGUCCUUUAUUCCUUUUCUGCAGGCCCUGGGGGAUCACCCUGCUUUCUUCUCUUGGCAUUUGCCACACCCUGUCUUAUUCAACCCUGUAUUGAAGUUGUUUCUCUUCAAAUCUUUACUGAUAGUUUCUCUAGCUUCCUUCUUUUCUUAAUUCUGCUGAAGAGACUAAUAUGAAUCUUCCAAUCUUUAGUGUAACAUUGAUAAUUAGCUGUGUGGCCUUACAUGAGAUACUUGACCUUUCUGUAGCUCGGUUUCUUCAUAGUCAGUUAAAUGAAGAGAAUGAUGACUACUUCAUAGCAUUGUUCUGGAAAUGAAAUGAGAUGCACUGCAUAUCACUUUUAAAAGGCAUUUAGUAAGUAGUUGUCCUCAACUUUUCCCUCUCAUUUUGUUUCUAUAUGUACAAUUUGAAAGAUGCAGAAUUAUUUUUUAAGUUGUUAAAUAAUAUCAUUUUGUGUCGGUGUGAGAACUGCUGGUUUAAAAAACGUUUUCAUAUGUCUCACCUUAUUUGCUGCUGCCACACUAAUUUGAGUUAGGUAAGAUAAUUAUUUACUAUUCUUCUUUCAGAUAAGGAAAUUAAAUCUCAGGGAGAUAAAGAGAAGCAAGUGUCUAGAUUCAUAAUGCCUUCAACAGCACAGUAGAAAUGGGAGGGAGGUAGUGACACAUUUCCUGUGUUGUGGUGUUUAGUGGAGACACCUCCUCCCUGGGUUGUGGUGUUUAGUGGAGACACCUCCUCCCUGGGUUGUGGUACUGAAAACUAAAGGGUAAAUUCUGCAAAUGUCUCCAAGUGUUGUAGAUCAAAGCCAGGGAAAGCAAUCAGAAGCCAGAUUGCAUUCUAAUGGCUGGGGAGACUUAGGCAACAAAACUCGAUGAAGAAACCACAGCCUGGAAGAAUUCUUUAGAAAGAGCCUAGGUCCCAAGUGGGUACCUUGUGUGGAUUCAGAAAUGAACUAACAAUUUUGAAUGAAAAGGACCAUUAAAAUGUUUCUACCAGGACUAACUACUUUCUUUUGUCAAAUUAGCUCAGGUUAAUUAUAGAGUAGACACUGCCUGAAUCUGUAUUUUUCUAAUUAACAUCAAAAUCCACUAGAAAGACACGAACAUUUAAUGUUGUAUAAUGUAUAUGCAUAUGUGGAAACACUAUUGGAUUUUAUGAACUGAUGAAUAUAUAGGAUUACCUUAUUCCAUGCCAUUCCUUUAACAGAUAUUUCUUGUGUACCUGGGAUGUACCAGGUAUACUUCUUGGUAUAGGAACUAUACCAGCAAAAAUUGUCAUGGAGCUUAUAAUAGAAGAGGUGUUUAUAGCUUAGUAAUAUAAAAAAUCAUACAAGAUCUGUAAUUUUUUUUACAUUAAGAG
rnacentral:lncRNA from 1 species